AUUGAACGCUGGCGGCAUGCUUUACACAUGCAAGUCGAACGGCAGCACAGGGAGCUUGCUCCCGGGUGGCGAGUGGCGCACGGGUGAGUAAUACAUCGGAACGUGUCCUGUUGUGGGGGAUAACUGCUCGAAAGGGUGGCUAAUACCGCAUGAGACCUGAGGGUGAAAGCGGGGGAUCGCAAGACCUCGCGCAAUUGGAGCGGCCGAUAUCGGAUUAGCUAGUUGGUGAGGUAAGGGCUCACCAAGGCGACGAUCCGUAGCUGGUUUGAGAGGACGACCAGCCACACUGGGACUGAGACACGGCCCAG
rnacentral:rRNA from 1 species